rnacentral:misc_RNA from 1 species
AAGUCGUAACAAGGUUUCCGUAGGUGAACCUGCGGAAGGAUCAUUAUUGAAAUAAACCUGAUGGGUUGUUGCUGGUUCUCUAGGGAGCAUGUGCACACCUUGUCAUCUUUAUAUCUCUCCACCUGUGCACCUUUUGUAGACCUUUCUAGGUCUAUGUUGCCUUUUCAUUUACCCCAAUGUAUGUUAAUAGAAUGUUGUGACUAUAAAAUCUAUACAACUUUCAGCAACGGAUCUCUUGGCUCUC